rnacentral:rRNA from 1 species
GACGAACGCUGGCGGCGUACUUAACACAUGCAAGUCGAGCGGUAAGGCCCUUUCGGGGGUACACGAGCGGCGAACGGGUGAGUAACACGUGGGUGACCUGCCCUCAGCUCUGGGAUAAGCCUGGGAAACCGGGUCUAAUACUGGAUAUGACUCCAUGACGCAUGUUGUGGGGUGGAAAGCCUUGUGCGGCUGAGGAUGGGCCCGCGGCCUAUCAGCUUGUUGGUGGGGUGAUGGCCUACCAAGGCGACGACGGGUAGCCGGCCUGGGAGGGCGACCGGCCACACUGGGACUGAGGCACGGCCCAGACUCCUACGGGAGGCAGCAGUGGGGAAUCUUGCGCAAUGGGCGAAAGCCUGACGCAGCGACGCCGCGUGAGGGAUGACGGCCUG